rnacentral:snRNA from 1 species
GCGUUCACUUCAGCAGCACACAUACUAAAAUUGGAACGAUACAGAGAUAAUUUUCAUGGCCCCUAUGCAAAGAUGACAUGCAAAUUCGUGAAGCAUUCCAUAUUUUU